GGUUGGUCCAAGUGCAAUGGUGUUUACAACUAAUUGAUCACAACCAGUUACAGGUUCCGUUGUUCCUUCUCUGCUCCCACUGCUUCUCCUGACCAGCCUAAA
rnacentral:Y_RNA from 1 species